UAUACGGAUUCAAUUGUAUCUGCGACAACAUCCAAUCAUUGUGAGAAUUUUGAAAUUCCAUCGUAAGUUUAUUGACUCUUUAUAUUUGCCAAUCUAUACUGAUGAAAGCUUUUUGCAUUGUGUAAUAAGACAGAAACCCAAAAAGAUUUUUACUCCCCCUUUUUUUUCCCCGUGUAGCCAAUAAUCGGACGCGCAGUCGCGUCUAGUUUUGUUCGAUAGUUGGCAAGUCUGGUAACCCCUCUGUAUUCGCGCAUGCCACUGAAUAUAUAUAUAUAUAUAUAUAUUUAUACACAUACACAUUUACUUUGAGGGGGUGAAUAUGAACACGGAUGUUGGGGUAGGUCGACAGACACAUUUUGCCUCCCCAAUCCUAUACAACGUCACAGUCUCCAUCCACCGGUUCUAAAAAUCGAAGACUUGCACUUCGGGUUAGUCCGGUGCAUUCCACCAACCAAGUUCCUCUACCUUUUCUCUCUUUCUCUCUUUCUCUAUUUUUCUCUAUUUUAUAAUUCUUCAAUUUUUUCUUUUUUCAAAUUUACAAUUAUUAUUUUUACUUUCAGGCUCAAAAUUUGCAUUGCUGGAAGAUAUUUAAAGAAUCUGAAAAAUGAUCCUACUUUAUUUCUAUUUUCAAAAAUGAUUUUAAUUCCUUAGUUCCUCAUCCUGGUGUAUCCUGGAACCACUUUUUUCUUUCUAAAUACACGUGUAAAAAUUUAAAUAGUUUUUAAAAAUAUUUCUAUACACUUUUUGAAAAAGUUAAAAAAAAAAGAAUUUUAAAGAUUGUGGACAAAUUUGCAACUGAUAGUUCGAUUAUUUACGAAUGACUGAAUGUUAUAUACAAAUGUCAAAACGGAAAACGAAGCAUAUUCGCGGACUAAUGAUGGAACAAUAUUAUUAAACCGGCAAAUUACACACGUCAUUUGAUGUUGAAGCCGGUUUACACCGGUUUUGCUCAGAGCUUGACACGAUGAUCGUUGUUGCGGUCGAAACGAGAUAUAUUACGGAAGCUGAGAAAAGGAGAAGAGGAUCUCUUUUCAUGUGGUCGUGGACAAUUAGCAUUGUUUAGCAUUCAAGUGUCAUGGAAGAAGAACACUUGCAAAUUUUUGAGAUCUAUUCUCGCGUUAAUUGCACGACUGGCAAAAAUCGAGAUGGUUUUUCUUUUUUUUGCAAAAGAAACACAAAUUUGUGAUAAAAAAAAAAAAAUUCCAUUUAAAAAUGAAAUAUAGUCAAUUGAGAAAUGUAUAUAUAUAUAACUAUUCUAAGAAUAUUGAAUUUCUUACAAGUGGAAUGGAAGAAAACUAAAUAAGACGAGAGAAAGUGUGAAGCCUGUUAUUAAAUUUAAUCGAUCAGGAAACCUUUUUAGCCCUUUAUAUAUAUAUAUUCUGGCCUUAAUUUAUUGUCGAUUGCUCAAUUAUUAAAAUUUCCUUCACAGUCACAGAUGAAGAAGAGAGAAAUGGCGAAAAAUUUUCCAUUUCCUUGCGAAAUUAUAUACAGAAUGAUAUAAGAAUUAAAAUUUAUUUUUAAUUUCUAAAUUAAAAAAUGGGCUAAAAAUUCAUGAAUUUCUGUAAAUUUGAUUUUGUUGUACAAUUUUUUUUUGGAAAAAUUAAUUUUUAAAUUUUGAAUACUGCAAUUAUAUAUUAUAGAAGAAACAAAAAAAUACUUUGCGCGCAGUAUCUCUUGAAAUUCUGUGUGUGGAACAUUUUAAGAUUGUUUCAUCCUGCGUGUAACCCUGGGCACACUUGAGACACCAGUCUCGUUCACCAUUCGCUCCAUUCGUACUCUGUCACGAUUUUGCAGACUAGCGGUGCUAUUCUAAUUCUAGCACUAUUCUAGUCCAAGCAGCGGCAGCAUCAUCAAGAGACGACAAGAAAGAGAGAGAGAGAGAAAAAGAGACCCGUCACAGUGUUCACCAAUUCAGAAGCUCCGCUUCCCCUCACUCACAACUUGCAGUUGAAUUUCGCGUGCGAUACAUAUCAGCCGUGUGUUUUUGAACUCCCUAUACUUUUUUUUUCAAACGAACCCUUUUUUCAAAAUUAGUUUUCAUUUUAAUUUUCCUGAAAAAAAAACUAACGUCCAUUUUAAAAAAUUCUUAACCUAUACAUAUAUGUACAAUUCUUGUAUGUGCGAGAGAAAUUUACAACUAGCGACAUCUGACAAUUGUUUUGAAUUUUGUUUUUGAAAUUCACUUCUCUUGAGAUGGUGUAUAAAAAAAUUUACUCGGAUGUAUUUGAUGGAAUUUGAUUAAAAAACCAAAAAAAAAAAAAAAAAAAAAAAAAAAGAGAA